rnacentral:rRNA from 1 species
UAGGGAAUAUUGGGCAAUGGAGGCAACUCUGACCCAGCCAUACCGCGUGCAGGAUGAAGGCCCUCUGGGUUGUAAACUGCUUUUAUCAGGGAAGAAACGCUAGGAUUCAUCUUAGCCUGACGGUACCUGAGGAAUAAGCACCGGCUAACUCCGUGCCAGCAGCCGCGGUAAUACGGAGGGUGCAAGCGUUAUCCGGAUUUACUGGGUUUAAAGGGUGCGUAGGCGGAUUGUUAAGUCAGUGGUGAAAGAUUCGAGCUCAACUCGGAAACUGCCAUUGAUACUGAUGAUCUCGAAUACAGUUGAGGUAGGCGGAAUAUUACAUGUAGCGGUGAAAUGCUUAGAUAUGUAAUAGAACACCGAUUGCGAAGGCAGCUUGCUAAACUGUUAUUGACGCUGAGGCACGAAAGCGUGGGGAUCAAACAGG